CAAAGAAGGAGUUGCGCGAGCUAGAACAACAACAGCUGCCAGUUCAAUGUCAAGCGUCAAGCCUUCCAUGUCUGAACCCAAGUCUCCGGGUUCUUACUGUGGUGUUCCAGCACAGAGAAGCUCACAGUGGGGUCCAGAGAUGGUCUUAGUGAAGCUGGAGGACUGCAGUCAACCACUGGAACUCAAUGUGAUAGUCAAAGAGGAAGAGGAGGAGAGAGGGAUUAAAGAGGAGGAGGAGGAGAGAGCAUUCAAAGAGGAGGCAGAGGAGAGAG